UCUGGGCCCUUUCCUUGUGAGGAGCCGCUUGUCCCUGAAGGACUGGGUCCCGUCUCGCUUCCCCCAACCCAGGUGCCACCGUCAGUCUGGGGUCUGAGAGGCCGGCAUCGCGGUUCCCCGCCCGCCUUCUCCGCCCACAGUGGAGACCCCUUCGUGGGGCGGGUGCCCCUGGGGAGGCGCGAGGCACAGGGACAGGGGACAUGCGAGCAGGCGGCGGGUCUGCACGUGACUGUUUCCUUUCCUUGUUGGCCGCGUGCACAGGGCGUCCUCUGGCCGUGUCACGCCAAACAUCCGUCUCCUGCAGAGGCUGACCGCGGCUCUGGCUCCUGUGCCCGUCUUCCAGGGCCGCCCUCUGGAAAGAGGGAGGACACAGCGCGGGCGGGGACGUGGGCCGGUGUCCCAGGGAGGACAGGCCGCCAGGAAGGUGUCGCCUUGCUGACCACGCCCUCCGCUGUCUGCGCGCUGUGCAGAAACCAGGCCUGUUCCCGGGACGCGGGGAGAUGGUGUGGGUCUGCCCCCGGCUGUGGAGAUGGGCCGCCUCCUCCGGGGGAGCCGGGGACGCGGCGGCCGCCUCGGGGUCACACACGAGCCCCAAGCACAGGGCUGUCGUCCUCCCUCGGACACACGUCCCCAUCUCUGGUCCUGGUGAGGGGAGGCCAGGAGGGCCCGGAGGUCAAGGGACAGCCCGUGGGUGUGGGGGGGGCCCUGGGGCACCUGGGAGCCCGUCCCCCCUCCGAGCAGCCCGUCCGGGGCCAGAGCCGUGUCCCCUGGAGCUGGGACCGAGGCCUCGGCCAGUCAGGCACUGGGCGUGUGCGCUGGAGGGAGCCCCACCUGGGCCGCCUGGGACGGGUGACCCCUCGGUUCCAGGGCCUGUCGGGCAGUGUCAGCGGCUCGCCCGGGGGACGUCGAGCGCCCGCUGAGCCCGUGCACCUGAGACGAGCCGUCGGCCCCCUGACUCUGUGUGUGUGUGUGUUUCUGGUCAGUGCACACGCCCUGCGCCCCUGGAACCUGUGUGAGAAGAUGGACAGCCUGCUGACCUUCCAGCGGCACCAGGGCAGCCUGCCCACCGAGCCUCCCCGUUGUUUCUGCGACGCCAUCCAGGACACCGCGAGCAGGACGAGGCAGAACAACAGGGCCUGGAAUGCGCUGUGCCCGUGCCUCCACCUGCCGCAGGUGAGCGGGCUGUUCCGGAAGGUCUGCCGCUGCCCCAAGGCUGCUGCCCCACGAGACGGAGCUGCCUGGCCUGCAGGGUGGCGGGCGUCACCGGGACUCACCCGGGUCCGGCUGUUCCUCUUCCUUCUUAGGAAGCGUCACCGCGUUAGCAGUUGGUCUGCAGUCGCUCGUGACAACAGCGCGUCCUGGCGUCUUGGUUCUCGCGGCCGUAAUGAAGGACCGUAAUCGGGGCGGCUUAAACAUCAGAUUACUUUAUUUUAUUUUAUUUAUUUUAUUUUUAUUGUGUUUAUUUCCCCCAGUUCCGGGUUCUCUUCGGGGUCACCGAUGGCCCCUCCUCGCCGUGUGCUCGCGGCAGAGACAAGGGAGGCAGCUCUAUGAGUCUUGUUAGGACCUGACCCCAUCUCAGGACCUCCGCCCUCCUGACCUCUUCCAACCCCGCUGACCUCCCACAGGUCCUAAGGCCGUCACGCGGGGGUCAUGUGCCCUGGUCUCCUGGACGGAUGGGGGUCUCGCCCCCAUUGGCCUGGCCGGGAGCGGCCGUGCUUCUGUGUGGGCUCGAUCGUACCCCGUGGGGCGGCUUUUCUAGCUGAGCCCGGGGACGUUCCUGCCCUCUGAGCUGCACGGACCCAGGGGACUCGCGCAUGUGCUGUAUGGGGUGGGGCGUCCUACGCAGCUGCAGGGUGUCUGCCCAUGUCGGAGACAGGCGUCCCUAACCCCAUGUGUGUGCGCGCGGGUUCCCACACCCUCUCUGUUCUGUGUUUGAACUGCAGACGAUCCACAGACCCCCCCCACCCCGUGCUCCUGACUGAGGCCCGUCCUGUCAUAGGGAGCCCCCGGUACCGGUGUGGACUCCACGUGUGUCCCUGUGUGGGGACAUCGGGACUCGUGCUGCCCAGCAGUGACUUGAGGGCAUCUCUCUCCCCCCGUGUCUCAGGGCGGACGUUUCCAGAAGGAGAUUGUACAGAAUCCUCACGGGAGACAGUUUACCCCGAUACGUGGGCUCCACGGCUGUGACGUGUGGAAUCCACAGCCGUGAGGCGUGGCCUGUGUUCUCCUCUGCAUCUCGGUGCCGCCUUGUUCCGUCUCCCAGACCCAUCUGUCUGGCUUUCAUGUCACGAGGGGUCACCUAGAGGUGUCAGGAGAUGCCCCUCGUGUUGAGAAAGGCGCCAUGUUGACUUAGGCGCCCGAGUGGUCCCAGAACCUCAUCGUCUUAGAGGAGACGCCG
rnacentral:lncRNA from 1 species